GGGGUCAGGUAGAGAAUACCGAGGCGAUCGGGCGAACUGUGGUUAAGGAACUCGGCAAAUUACCCCCGUAACUUCGGGAGAAGGGGGGCCACAGACCGUGAAACCCCAUGCGGGUGGCAGCGGUAGGUGGCCGCAGAGACCAGGGGGAAGCGACUGUUUACUAAAAACACAGGUCCGUGCGAAGUCGUAAGACGAUGUAUACGGACUGACGCCUGCCCGGUGCUGGAACGUUAAGGGGACCGGUUAGUCCGCAAGGGCGAAGCUGAGAACUUAAGCGCCAGUAAACGGCGGUGGUAACUAUAACCAUCCUAAGGUAGCGAAAUUCCUUGUCGGGUAAGUUCCGACCUGCACGAAUGGCGUAACGACUUCCCUACUGUCUCAACCACAGGCCCGGCGAAAUUGCACUACGAGUAAAGAUGCUCGUUACGCGCGGAAGGACGGAAAGACCCCGGGACCUUCACUAUAGCUUGACAUUGGUACUCGAAUUGAAUUGUGUAGGAUAGGUGGGAGACUAUGAGGCUCGGACGCCAGUCCGGGUGGAGUCAACGUUGAAAUACCACUCUGUUGAAUUUGGGUAUCUAACUUCGGACCGUGAUCCGGUUCAGGGACAGUGUCUGGUGGGUAGUUUAACUGGGGCGGUUGCCUCCUAAAAUGUAACGGAGGCGCCCAAAGGUUCCCUCAGCCUGGUUGGCAAUCAGGUGUUGAGUGCAAGUGCACAAGGGAGCUUGACUGUGAGACUGACAGGUCGAGCAGGGACGAAAGUCGGGACUAGUGAUCCGGCACCGGCGAGUGGAAGCGGUGUCGCUCAACGGAUAAAAGGUACCCCGGGGAUAACAGGCUGAUCUUCCCCAAGAGUCCAUAUCGACGGGAUGGUUUGGCACCUCGAUGUCGGCUCGUCGCAUCCUGGGGCUGGAGUAGGUCCCAAGGGUUGGGCUGUUCGCCCAUUAAAGCGGCACGCGAGCUGGGUUUAGAACGUCGUGAGACAGUUCGGUCCCUAUCCUCCGCGCGCGCAGGAGACUUGAGAAGAGCUGUCCCUAGUACGAGAGGACCGGGACGGACGAACCUCUGGUGUGCCAGUUGUCAUGCCAAUGGCACGGCUGGUUAGCUACGUUCGGAAGGGAUAACCGCUGAAAGCAUCUAAGCGGGAAGCCUGCUUCAAGAUGAGGUCUCCCACCCCCUCGAGGGUUAAGGCCCCCAGCAAGACCACUGGGUUGAUAGGCCAGAAGUGUAAGCCUGGUAACAGGUUCAGCCGACUGGUACUAAUAGGCCGAGGACUCCAA
rnacentral:rRNA from 1 species